UUUUCGACCUGAACUCAGACGUGGAUACCCGCUGACUUUAAGCAUAAA
rnacentral:rRNA from 1 species